ACAUAACCCCUUCCGUUUGCAGCUAUCUGAACUUUUCUCUUUUCAAAGCAGAAAAUUGACCACAGAUCUCUACCAACAAUUCAUCGUCUCUUUUAUGCUGAAUUUUAUNNNNNNNNNCUAUUCAUUGGAAGUGCAUGACAUCCAUCUUAACGUAGAGGAUGCCAGCGAACGGGCCAAUAGUUUCCUUUUUCUUUAGAAAACUAGUGUUAGAGAAGAGGAAAAGACUUAUAUACUAGGGAUCCAAGUGAAGUGAGGAGUGUUAAGGUUCGGAGUUUGAGGAAACCCAAUGUCCACAAAUCUUCCAAAGAGGUGAGGUUUUGGAGGCUUCCUACAUAUGCAUCUCAGAUUCUUGAGUGUAAUGAUAAAAAGAAAGUUAACCAAAAUGGAAGUAGCCAGCCAUUGUCAUCUAGAAAGAAAACAGUAUUUGUACUUCAACUUUUGCCUCUUUUGCCUUUGAUUACCAAUCCCUCCAGAUCUUGCUUAUAAUGGAAAUCAACCCACCCCAAAUCUAAUUCUUCAACGCUUUGCUUCUUAUCUCAAAUAUUGAAAUCAUGUAACGUGAAGUUCCCCUUGUAGAUGAGCCUUAAGCAUUUUAAUUUUGGCACUAAGCCAUGUAGGACAUCACUAGUAACAAAUAGUGAUUUAUGGUAACAGAAAGAUAA
rnacentral:misc_RNA from 1 species